GAGGAAGAGACUCAGACCUCAGCAUCAUUUCUUGUAAAGUUCCAGACAUUCAAACAUGGGAGCAUCUGAAAGCAGCCCUGAAUUUCACUCUGUUAUGGCUGAUAAACAAGUGAAAGUCGGACAGGAUGUUACUCUUCACUGUGAGGUGAACACACGAGAAGUAACAGCAACGUGGGAGAAGAACGGACGCAGCUUGGAAUGUGUGGAGGGCAAACACUUGAUAAGACAAAGUGGUACAUCAAUUACCUUGACAAUCAAGAAUGUUCAACAAGCGGAUGGAGGGAGAUACACAGUACACCUGAGGAAUGUCUCUGGCAGUACCUCAUGCUCUGCUAUGGUCAUUGUUUGUAAUUAAGAAUUGUGCACCUCAGUGACUAAGUACUUUAUUCAAACACUAACAGGCUGCUCACUGUAAUCGUCAUGGACAGUCAUCCACUAAGUCUUUAUGGCUCUACCAAGACGUCUUAUAUCAGAAU